rnacentral:rRNA from 1 species
UGGGGAAUUUUGGACAAUGGGGGCAACCCUGAUCCAGCCAUCCCGCGUGUGCGAUGAAGGCCUUCGGGUUGUAAAGCACUUUUGGCAGGGAAGAAACGGCGCGGGCUAAUAACCUGUGCUAAUGACGGUACCUGCAGAAUAAGCACCGGCUAACUACGUGCCAGCAGCCGCGGUAAUACGUAGGGUGCAAGCGUUAAUCGGAAUUACUGGGCGUAAAGCGUGCGCAGGCGGUUCGGAAAGAAAGGUGUGAAAUCCCAGGGCUUAACCUUGGAACUGCACUUUUAACUACCGGGCUAGAGUACGUCAGAGGGGGGUAGAAUUCCACGUGUAGCAGUGAAAUGCGUAGAGAUGUGGAGGAAUACCGAUGGCGAAGGCAGCCCCCUGGGAUGAUACUGACGCUCAUGCACGAAAGCGUGGGGAGCAAACAGGAUUAGAUACCCUGGUAGUCCACGCCCUAAACGAUGUCAACUAGCUGUUGGGGUUUAUUAACCUUAGUAGCGCAGCCAACGCGUGAAGUUGACCGCCUGGGGAGUACGGUCGCAAGAUUAAAACUCAAAGGAAUUGACGGGGUCAUAGCUGUUUCCU